AGUUUUUGACAUGAAUACACCACCAAUGAUAGGACCCGUAACAGCCAUAGUAGAAACAAAGAAACUAUCAACAUCAAUACGACUUCAAAGGGCCACACCAAGAGAUCUCUAUAUCAAGUUUUCUUCUUCACGAAAGGGAGAUUUUAAAAAUCUAGAUCUUGAUGGAACUCCUAGAAGUACAGCAAGAAAUGAAUAUGUUGGUCUUACGUUUGACUAUCAUAGGAACAUGUAUUAUGUUAUCAACAGAAGAAGAAAUGGUGAAGCCAGUAUCUUGGGAUUCUAUGCAUCUGGAAUAAACCCAGAACCAAUCCAACUUUACACAGGAUUAUCAUCGACUGUAAGAAGUAUAGCGAUGGAUUGGGUGAAUGGUGUUUUAUAUUGGGCGGAUCCGACAGCAAAAGUUAUAAUGAAAACACCCGUUGAGCCUAAAUGUUUAGCCCAGGAUUCAGCCCGAGCUAUCAUUGGUGGUUUGAGCUAUCCAAUUGGAGUUGCAGUUUAUCCCGAUAAAGGAUAUGUUUACUGGACUGACGCUGGUAUUAACAGAAGAAUAGAAAGAUCAGACCUAGAUGGUAAAUAUCGCCGACAGAUCAUCACCAACGUACGCAACCCACGAGCUAUCACUAUUGAUUAUGACAAGGACAGAAUAUAUUGGAUUGAUAAUAGAGAUUAUAACUGUAUUUUGGAAUCAGCAGAUUUGGAUGGUAAUGGGAGAAGACUUCUAGUUAACGUUAUGGACAGUAACUUGUUUGAUCUAGACAUCUUACAGAAUUAUAUCAUUGCUACAGAUGUAAAGAAAAGUCGAGUAUAUCUGUACAGUUUAGCGUAUAGAAGGUUGAUAUGGAAGGAUUGGAUUGGAAAACCUCUUG